rnacentral:rRNA from 1 species
UACGGAGGGGGCCAGCGUUGCUCGGAAUUAUUGGGCGUAAAGGGCGCGUAGGCGGCCUGCUAAGUCGAACGUGAAAUCCCUGGGCUCAACCCAGGAACUGCGUCCGAUACUGGUUGGCUUGAAUCCGGGAGAGGGAUGUGGAAUUCCAGGUGUAGCGGUGAAAUGCGUAGAUAUCUGGAGGAACACCGGUGGCGAAGGCGACAUCCUGGACCGGUAUUGACGCUGAGGCGCGAAAGCCAGGGGAGCAAAGCGGG